CAAGUCCCUUGGAACAGGGCGUCACGGAGGGUGAGAAUCCCGUUCGCGGCCGGGGCGGCGCGUCCCCGCGCGGGGCCCUUUCGACGAGUCGAGUUGUUUGGGAAUGCAGCUCCAAGCGGGUGGUAAAUUCCAUCUAAGGCUAAAUAUCCGCCAGAGACCGAUAGCGCACAAGUAGCGUGAGCGAAAGAUGAAAAGCACUUUGGAAAGAGAGUUAAACAGCACGUGAAAUUGUGGAAAGGGAAGCGCUUGCGGCCAGACUCGGCCGCGCGCGACCACCCGUCCUGCGGGGCGGGGCACGCGCGCGCGGCCGGGCCCGCAUCGGUUCGGGCGGCCGGACAAAGGCCCGGGGAACGUGGCCCCCGCGGGGGUGUUAUAGCCCCGGGCGCCAUGCGGCCCGCCCGGACCGAGGCCUGCGUUGAUGCACGGAUGCGGGCGUAAUGGCCGCCAGCGACCCGUCUUGAAACACGGACCAAGGAGUCGACCAGUCCCGCGAGUCUCUGGGUGUCAAACCCGCAGGCGCAAUGAAAGUGAACGGAGGCGAGAGCCCCCCCGGGGGUGCACCGUCGUCCGAUCCGGAAGUUUUACGGAUGGAUUUGAGAAGGAGCGCGGCCGGUCGGACCCGAAAGAUGGUGAACUAUGCCUAGCUAGGAGGAAGUCGAGAGAAAUCUCGAUGGAUGUCCGCAGCGGUUCUGACGUGCAAAUCGAUCGUCAAAGCUGGGUAUAGGGGCGAAAGAGUGAGUUUUUGGACUUUCCCGGACGAAUCGAGCAGAGAGGCUAAUGUGAAACAGCUAAUCGAACCAUCUGGUAGCUGGUUCCUGUCGAAGUUUCCCUCAGGAUAGCAGCCGCGCGUGCGAGUCGCAUCCGGUAGAGCAACGAUUGGGCGUAUGGGGAAAGUAACUUUCUUCGCGCACUCUCGAACUCCGAAUGGGUGCGAGGCCCCCGUCGCUUCGU
rnacentral:rRNA from 1 species